CCUACGUGUGGCAGCCGUUAGGAAUAUUGGUCAAUGGACGAGAGUCUGAACCAGCCAAGUCGCGUGAAGGAUGACUGCCCUAUGGGUUGUCAACUUCUUUUAUAAAGUAAUAAAACGAGUCACGUGUGCCUUUUUGCAUGUACUUUAUGAAUAAGGAUCGGCUAACUCCGUGCCAGCAGCCUCGGUAAUACGGAGGAUCCGAGCGUUAUCCGGAUUUAUUGGGUUUAACGGGAGAGUAGAUGGGUUGUUAAGUCAGUUGUGAAAGUUUGCGGCUCAACCGUAAAAUUGCAAGUGAUACUGGCAGUCUUGAGUACAGUUGAGGUAGGCGGAAUUCGUGGUGUAGGGGUGAAAUGCUUAGAUAUCACGAAGAACCUCGAUUGCGAAGGCAGCUAACUAACCUGUGACUGACAUUGAUGCUCGAAAGUGUGGGUAUCAAACAGGAUUAGAUACCCGGGUAGUC
rnacentral:rRNA from 1 species